ACCGCCAAAACUGUAAGCAAGCCCCCAGUGUUGAGAAUUGAACUCAAGGCCUAAUGCCUGCUUAGGCAAGGGAACACAUUGCUUCUAAAUGGUGGGUCUCUCUGUAUUGGAAGACUGGAAUGAAAAGAUCGCUUGAGUCCAAGAGUCUGAGGCAACAUACCAAGGUCUUAUCUCAAGCACAACUGAGGCGGGACUGGAGAUGACUCAGUGGCUAAAUACUUGCUCUGCAAGCAUGAAGACCAGAGCUCACAUCACCAGCACCCACAUAAAAGCCAGCAGGAGUGAUUGGGCUCAGUGAGAGUCCUGACUCAGGAGAUGAAGCGGAAAGCUGAUUGACGAUGUGAAGUCAACCUCUGGCCUACGCAAGCACACACACUUUCAUACAUGUAUGCCUGCAAAUAUGCAAACACAUAUACACGCAUAGCAUACAAACAAGCAGAUGCAAUACAAAUAAAACAAAACGAUCAUAAGCAGGAGAAAUCACCA
rnacentral:sRNA from 1 species